GACAGAGGUGCCGAGCGUUAGGCGGAAUCACUGGGCUUAAAGCGUGUGUAGGCGGAGUUCUAAGUACCUUGUGAAAUCCCACGGCUUAACCGUGGAACUGCUUGGUAUACUGGUUCUCUUGGGCCAUCUAGGGGCUACUGGAACAAACGGUGGAGCGGUGAAAUGCGUAGAUAUCGGGAGGAACACCAGUGGCGAAGGCGACUACCUGGCCUGUUCUUGACGCUGAGGCGCGAAAGCUAGGGGAGCAAACGGG
rnacentral:rRNA from 1 species